CACGUAGGGCGCAAGCGUUGUCCGGAAUUAUUGGGCGUAAAGAGCUCGUAGGCGGUCUGUUGCGUCCGCUGUGAAAACUCGGGGCUCAACCCCGGGCCUGCAUUCGGUACGGGCAGACUAGAGUUCGGUAGGGGAGACUGGAAUUCCUGGUGUAGCGGUGAAAUGCGCAGAUAUCAGGAGGAACACCGGUGGCGAAGGCGGGUCUCUGGGCCGAUAUUGACGCUGAGGAGCGAAAGCGUGGGGAGCGAACAGG
rnacentral:rRNA from 1 species